rnacentral:rRNA from 1 species
UUUGAUCAUGGCUCAGAUUGAACGCUGGCGGCAUGCCUUACACAUGCAAGUCGAACGGCAGCAUGAUCUAGCUUGCUAGAUUGAUGGCGAGUGGCGAACGGGUGAGUAAUACAUCGGAACGUGCCCUGUAGUGGGGGAUAACUAGUCGAAAGAUUAGCUAAUACCGCAUACGACCUGAGGGUGAAAGUGGGGGACCGCAAGGCCUCAUGCUAUAGGAGCGGCCGAUGUCUGAUUAGCUAGUUGGUGAGGUAAAGGCUCACCAAGGCGACGAUCAGUAGCUGGUCUGAGAGGACGAUCAGCCACACUGGGACUGAGACACGGCCCAGACUCCUACGGGAGGCAGCAGUGGGGAAUUUUGGACAAUGGGGGCAACCCUGAUCCAGCAAUGCCGCGUGUGUGAAGAAGGCCUUCGGGUUGUAAAGCACUUUUGUCCGGAAAGAAAUCGCACUUACUAAUAUUAGGUGUGGAUGACGGUUCCGGAAGAAUAAGGACCGGCUAACUACGUGCCAGCAGCCGCGGUAAUACGUAGGGUCCAAGCGUUAAUCGGAAUUACUGGGCGUAAAGCGUGCGCAGGCGGUUGUGCAAGACCGAUGUGAAAUCCCCGGGCUUAACCUGGGAAUUGCAUUGGUGACUGCACGGCUAGAGUGUGUCAGAGGGGGGUAGAAUUCCACGUGUAGCAGUGAAAUGCGUAGAGAUGUGGAGGANUACCGAUGGCGAAGNCAGCCCCCUGGGAUANCNCUGACGCUCAUGCACGAAAGCGUGAGGAGCAAACAGGAUUAGAUACCCUGGUAGUCACGCCCUAAACGAUGUCAACUAGUUGUUGGGGAUUCAUUUCCUUAGUAACGUAGCUAAUGCGUGAAGUUGACCGCCUGGGGAGUACGGUCGCAAGAUUAAAACUCAAAGGAAUUGACGGGGACCCGCACAAGCGGUGGAUGAUGUGGAUUAAUUCGAUGCAACGCGAAAAACCUUACCUACCCUUGACAUGCCACUAACGAAGCAGAGAUGCAUUAGGUGCUCGAAAGAGAAAGUGGACACAGGUGCUGCAUGGCUGUCGUCAGCUCGUGUCGUGAGAUGUUGGGUUAAGUCCCGCAACGAGCGCAACCCUUGUCUCUAGUUGCUACGAAAGGGCACUCUAGAGAGACUGCCGGUGACAAACCGGAGGAAGGUGGGGAUGACGUCAAGUCCUCAUGGCCCUUAUGGGUAGGGCUUCACACGUCAUACAAUGGUGCAUACAGAGGGUUGCCAAGCCGCGAGGUGGAGCUAAUCCCAGAAAAUGCAUCGUAGUCCGGAUCGUAGUCUGCAACUCGACUACGUGAAGCUGGAAUCGCUAGUAAUCGCGGAUCAGCAUGCCGCGGUGAAUACGUUCCCGGGUCUUGUACACACCGCCCGUCACACCAUGGGAGUGGGUUUUGCCAGAAGUAGUUAGCCUAACCGCAAGG